rnacentral:rRNA from 1 species
UGUAAGCGUAUACCAAAGUUGUUGCAGUUAAAACGCUCGUAGUCGGAAUUUGGCAGUUCCGGAUGUGUGCACGUCGUGUGCGCACUUCGCGGGGAUUGCUUUUGUGGUCUUGCGUAGGAUGAGGCACUUUUAUUAGUGAACGUCCUCACGCAACCACUUUUUACUGUGAGAAAAUCAGAGUGCUCAAAGCAGGCAUUUGCCGUGAAUGUAUUAGCAUGGAAUAAUAGAAUAGGACUCGGUUCUACUUUGUUGGUUUGUUGGGACUGAGUAAUGAUUAAGAGGGACAGUUGGGGGCAUUUGUAUUCCGGCGCUAGAGGUGAAAUUCUUAGAUUGCCGGAAGACAAACUGCUGCGAAAGCGUCUGCCAAGGAAGUUUUCAUUGA